CCUACGGGUGGCUGCAGUGGGGAAUAUUGGGCAAUGGGCGAAAGCCUGACCCAGCAACGCCGCGUGAAGGAAGAAGGCUUUCGGGUUGUAAACUUCUUUUGACAGGGAAGAGCAGAAGACGGUACCUGUCGACUAAGCCACGGCUAACUACGUGCCAGCAGCCGCGGUACUACGUAGGCGGCAAGCGUUGUCCGGCUUUACUGGGUGUAAAGGGCGUGUAGCCGGGCUGACAAGUCAGAUGUGAAAUCCGGGGGCUCAACCCCCGAACUGCAUUUGAAACUGUUGAUCUUGAGUACUGGAGAGGCAGACGGAAUUCCUAGUGUAGCGGUGAAAUGCGUAGAUAUUAGUAGGAACACCAGUGGCGAAGGCGGUCUGCUGGACAGCAACUGACGGUGAGGCGCGAAAGCGUGGGGAGCAAACAGGAUUAGAUACCCCUGUAGUC
rnacentral:rRNA from 1 species